rnacentral:rRNA from 1 species
UAAAAUUGUUAAAUAUUUGAUAAUAUAAAAUAUUUUAUUAAAGUUAAUUAUAUAAAUAAAUUAAAAUAAUUUGUUUUUUAAAGUAUAUUUAAAUAAAGUAAUAUAAAUAUUUAUUGGUUUAAGUAUAAAGUAAGAAAAAAUAUAAUAAAUAAUAGAGAUAGUAAUGAAAGUGAUUUUUUGUUAAAAUUAAAAAAGUAAAUUUUAUAUAUUGUACCUUUUGUAUAAGGGUUAAUUAAAUAAAAUAUUUAUAUUAAAAUAUUUCUCGAAUUUAAUAGAUUUAUUUAAGAAUAUUAGUUAAUGUAGAAAUAUUAUUAAUAAUCUUUAAAUAGAAGUGAAAUGUUAAUCGAUUUUAAAUAUAUCUAGUUUUUUUAGAAUUGAAUAUAAUUCAGAUUUAUAAAUUAUAUAAAUAAAAAUUAUUUUUAUGGGUAUAAAUUUAUAAAUUAAAUAUUUUUGGGAUAAACUAGAAAUAUAGAAAUAAUUUUAUUUAUAAUUAAGUAAUAAAAAUAUUCAUAAGAUUUGUAUUUUUUAAAGAAAAUGUUAUAAUUUAUAAAUAAUAAAUAAUAAAGAUUUAAAAUAAAGUUUUUGUAUAUAUAAAAAAAAAUUAUUUAAUAAUAAAAUAAUUGAUAUAAUGAUUGAAUUAGUAAAGUAAGGUAAAUAAUAUAUAAUUAAUUAAUAAUUUUUAAAUUAUAUUAAGGAAUUCGACAAAUAUAUUAUUUAGAUAAAGUAUAUUCACCUGUUUAUCAAAAACAUGGCUUAUUGGAUAAAAAUAGUAGGUCUAUUCUGCCCAUUGAUUAAAGUUAAAAGGCUGCAGUAUAUUGACUGUACAAAGGUAGCAAAAUCAUUUGUUUUUUAAUUGGAAACUGGAAUGAAAGAGUGAAUGAAAUAUAAAUUGUCUCAAUAUAAAUAAUUGAAUUUAAAUUAAAAGUUAAAAUGCUUUUAUAAAUUUAUUAGACGAUAAGACCCUAUAGAAUUUAAUAAAAUUUAUUUUUUAAAAUUAAUAUUUUUAAUAAAAUUUAGUUAAUAAGUAUAUUUUAUUGGGAGGAUAAUUAAAUUAAUUAAACUUUAAUAUAGAUGGAACAUAGAUGAAUGAGUAUUUUGAUUAUUAUUAUAAUUAUUAGAAUAAAUUACCUUAGGGAUAACAGCGUUAUAAUUUUGGAGAGUUCAUAUUGAUAAAAUUGUUUGCGACCUCGAUGUUGAAUUAUGAUAAAAAUUAAAUGGAGAAAUUUAAAUUUUUAGUCUGUUCGACUAUUAAAAUCAUACAUGAUUUGAGUUCAGAUCGGUGAAAGCCAGAUCGGUUUCUAUCUAUAAAUAAAGUAUAUUUUAUUGUACGAAAGGACUUAAAAUAUUAAAUAUUUUUAUAAAAAUUUAAAUUAAAUAAAUUUAAUAAAUGAAUAAAAUUAAAUUAAUAUUUAUAAAAUUAAGGUAUGUAUAAAAAUCUAUAAAAUUAUUAGAUAUAAAUAAAGUUUAUAAAGUUUAAUGUUUAAUAUUUUUGAAUAGAAUAAAUUAUAUAAAUAAAAUAUUAUAAAAUAAGAUAAGGGG